AAAAAAAGGUAAUCGAACUUCAGCGCGCUAUUAUACGUGAAUUACUCGGCGUAUGAGCAAUUGGUUUUCAUAUUCGGAAAGAUCAGGCUUUUAGCUAUUGAAUGACAUGCUUUUCAUGACAAGUGGAGAAAAAAUAAGCAUGUACGAGGCCGAUUAAAAACGUUAGUCAAAAUCGCAUAUUUUCACCUCUGUGCCUAAUUAAAACAAUGCAUAACAAAAGAAAAAGCAAUUAAUCACGAACGUGUCGUAGCUUAGCUAAGAUUUAUUCCUACUUAAUAAUAAUUAUGAAUAUGUGUGCAGUUUAAUGAAGUGAAAUUCAUCAACUUAAGUCCUAAAGGGGGUUCAUUUUCAAUGGUUUUAGACCCAACUCUCAACGGUGAAAAUAUGCGAUUCUGAC
rnacentral:lncRNA from 1 species